UGAAAUCUGAACCUAAAUCAGACAGGUUGAU
rnacentral:piRNA from 1 species